GAGAUUUAUUGCCCGGUGCAUUUCGGUCAGGUCUGGUGCGUUUCGGCGAGGCAAAAGAAAUCCGUGUCUAUAGAGGUGACGAACGCCAGCACCCCAACAACGGUCACGACGGGGACGCUAACGGCAUCUUUUUGAAGACGCCAACCACAUUGUCGAGGCAAAACUACGGAAAAGAGCUGCAGGUGUGUUAUCGGAAGCGAAAGAGAGGGCUAAUCGCUCCGUCCUCGAUUAUACGACGACCACGAACACGCGAGCCGGAGCACCUGGUGCAAACCACGAACAGGUUGAUCCGGUACAGAAAUUGGAACCUUCCGUCAGCGGCUCAUUGAGCGAUCAUCCAACAAACCGUGAAGUGGACUGCAUCCGUUUCGGAUAAGCUCAACUCGCAAAACCCCUUCGUAGUGGGCUGGACGCCAGCGAAAACCGCGCAAAGCCGAUUGAGGAUUGACCGACGGGGAGGCAAACCACGAUUGGUUGCGAACAAAGACGUCACGC